GGCUCCGCCCUCCCGCUCCGCGCGCUCGCCCUCGGCGCCCCCGUGCGGGCGAGCGCGGCGGCGGCGGUUCCCAUGGAGAUGGAAGAUGGCGCCCAGGGGCCGCCAUCGCUCCUCGGCUCCGCUGCAGGUCCUGCUCUUCCUCAACGGCUGGUACUGCGCCACGUAUUUUCUCCUGGAAGCGUUCGUGUUCGUGUACAAAGUGCUGCUCCUGCCCUAUCCCGUCUCCAACUUGGUGCUGGACGUGGUUCUGCUCCUCCUCUACCUCGGCAUUGAGGCCACACGCAUCUUCUUCGGCUCCAAGGGGAACCUGUGCCAGCGGAAGGUGCCGCUGUCCCUCAGCCUGGCACUCACAGUGCCGGCAGCUGUGCUGGCCGUGUACUACUUGCUGCUCCAGACAUAUUCCCUGCGCCUGGAAGCGUUCCUGAGCGCCAUCCUGCUCCUCUUCUACGGCCUGGAGCUGCUCCUGGGCUUCCUGGCGCUGCUCUCCUUCUCCAGCACGGAUCCCUACUGAGGACACGGCCCAGGGACACAGGGAAGCAUCACCCGUGCCAGCUCCACUCCCCAGCCCCGGGAAGGGGGAGGAUCUCACCUUUCCCACUGCCCAUUUCACCUGGUGCCACCUGGACACAUCCCUCCCACUCUGUUGCUUCUAUGUGGACACAUCCCUCCCAUUUUUCCUGCUUCCCACUUCAGCAGGGACCUGCUGCCACACGGAUUCAUCCCUCCCUUUUCCCACUUCACUCACUGCCCCCUGGACAUAUCCCUCCCACCUUUCCCACUCUCCAAUCCACUCGGACUCCUCAGAGCUUGAGCCAGCUCAAGGAAGGCAACAGGAGCGCUGUGUAAAAGACUGACAACGUCAUCUGAGUUUAUUACACAAUUCCAACCUAUCCAAAGACAAAUCUAAUCACUGCGAGCAGGAGGGGCGGCGCCUCGCCGGGGCUUCCAGGGAUUUGCUCUGCAAUUUAUGGGGGAAAUCUUUUUCCCCCUCCACUAUUUGGAAAGAAACUAAAAAUCUGUGGCGGUAAGUAAAAAAAAACCCGGAGCUCUCCUGCCGAGUGCUCCCACCUCGUGGGGCUUGGGAAAAUCAGGGUGAUUUUUCCUGAAUUUGGGUUA